AGAGUUUGAUCAUGGCUCAGGAACGAACGCUGGCGGCGUGCUUAACACAUGCAAGUCGAACGGUGAACCAGAGCUUGCUCUGGGGAUCAGUGGCGAACGGGUGAGUAACACGUGGGCAACCUGCCCCAGGCUCUGGGAUAACCUCGGGAAACCGAUGCUAAUACCGGAUACGACCACUUCGGACAUCCGAUGGUGGUGGAAAGUUUUUCGGUCUGGGAUGGGCCCGCGGCCUAUCAGCUAGUUGGUGGGGUAAUGGCCUACCAAGGCGACGACGGGUAGCCGGCCUGAGAGGGCGACCGGCCACACUGGAACUGAGACACGGUCCAGACUCCUACGGGAGGCAGCAGUGGGGAAUAUUGCACAAUGGGCGAAAGCCUGAUGCAGCGACGCCGCGUGAGGGACGACGGCCUUCGGGUUGUAAACCUCUUUCAGCAGGGACGAAGCGAAAGUGACUGUACCUGCAGAAGAAGCACCGGCUAACUACGUG
rnacentral:rRNA from 1 species